GAGGAAUAUUGCGCAAUGGGGGGAACCCUGACGCAGCGACGCCGCGUGGAUGAUGAAGGCCUUCGGGUCGUAAAAUCCUGUCAGAUGGAAAGAAGUGUAUGGUGGCCAAUACCUGCCAUACUUGACGGUACCAUCGAAGGAAGCACCGGCUAACUCCGUGCCAGCAGCCGCGGUAAUACGGAGGGUGCAAGCGUUGUUCGGAAUUACUGGGCGUAAAGCGCGCGCAGGCGGUUUGCUAAGUCAGAUGUGAAAGCCCAUGGCUCAACCAUGGACGUGCAUUUGAAACUGGCAGACUUGAGUAUUGGAGGGGGUGGUGGAAUUCCCGGUGUAGAGGUGAAAUUCGUAGAUAUCGGGAGGAAUACCGGUGGCGAAGGCGACCACCUGGCCAAAUACUGACGCUCAUGUACGAAAGCGUGGGGAGCAAAC
rnacentral:rRNA from 1 species